GGGCAGGGUGGAGAGGAAUAGAGAAACAUGUGCGCUGGGAGGAGGGGUCUUCAGGGAGCUUGGGAAAAGAGGUGGAGAAAGUUUGGAGUUAAUGAUAGAAGAGGCAAAGAUGCGAAGAAGGAGGCAAGGGGCAGCUGGAGAAAUGGCAUUCUCCAGGAUCAUGCAUUUUAUGAGCGCCGUCUGACAAAGUCCCCAGAACAUCUGCUGGUGACGUCACCUUUAAUCACAGCUUUGGAGACUGAAGCACAGAGAGGCCAAGUCAGUGGCCCAGGAGACACAGAGGGAUUUAACCGACAGAGAAUGCAGUGGCAGACCAGCAAUGCAGAGGAGGUCCUCAUCACUGACGACUUUACCUUCAGUGGUUAAGGAUUGCACUGUACCUGCUUCUGGGCCCUCAACGUUCUGCAUGUGCCUGGGCCCGGUCACCAGAGAUGAGUAGUCCUUAGACUUUAGCAUGCGGUGCAGCAGCGUCACCUGGAGGGCUGGAUGAGAUACAGAUUGCUGGGCUCCACGGGGGAGAUUCUGACUCAUUAGGUCUAGGGUGCGGUCUGGGAAUUUGCAUUCUGAGCUAGGUUCCAGGAAGCGGUGAUGCUGCUGGUCAGGGGACUGCCUGCACAUUGAGAAGCGCAACUUAGACUGUUAAUCAGAGGACAAGAAUGGCUUGGAAGUGGCUGGAUUACCUGUUUCCAGACAACCAUUAAUUGACAGUGACAGCAGCCAAGGCUGAAAAUCAAGCAACUCUUGCUCUGUUAGGGCAGGAUGCUUGGUUACAUCUUCUUCUACUACUUCUUCAUCUUUUGACUUUUAAUAACAACAUAUUGUGCAUUUGAUAAUAUAAGUAAAAGUAAACUGUAUGAAAACAGCAGUAAAAUUACUGGAUGGGGAGAAAUGGAAAUAUACUGUCAUAAGGUUGGAAUAUGAUGGAUAAAGUGAUAUAAUAUUAUUUGAAGGUAGAUUGUGAGUCAGUUUUCAUUCUACAAACCCCAAAGCAGCCUCUAAAAUAACAUAAUAGUUAUAAUUAAUAAUUCAUCAUUGGAGGUAAAAUAAAUUAUAAAAAUACUCAAUAAAAAUAGAACAAAAGGGAGAAAGGGUAAAAAGAACAGAUGGAACCAGUAGAACAAAAUACCACAAUUGUAUAUUUGAGCUUAUCCAUAUCAUUAUUCAUAUCAAAUGUAAGUGGUCGCAACCCUCCAAUUAAAAGGCAGAGAUUGUCUUUCUGAAUAAAAAGCAAGACCCAACUAUAGGCCACUUCUAAGAAAGUCACUUUAAGUAAAGAGAUAGCAUGCUUAAAAAGUAAAAGGAUGGGAAAAGAUUUACCAUGGUAUACAAUGUACCGUGGCGAUAUUAAGGAAGACAAAGAAGGUAUCAGAGCAAUGCUAGCAACAAAAAGUACCUACAUAAUGAUUUAAAAAAAAGUGAAUUUAUAGAGAGUACAUAGCAAUCCGAAGCCUUUAAGCACCCAAUAACAGAACUUCAAAAUAUGUGAAGUAAAAUCUGACAGUACUUUAAGGAGAAGUAGACAAUUUCUACAGUUAUAAAUCUAUUACUAUAAUCAUGUAUAAAGAGUAAUUAUGUGAUUUUAAAUCAAAUACAGUUUAAAUCAUGUAAGAGUGAUCUAAACAUCACCCUAGUAGUAACUGAUAGAAAAUUUAGGAAGAAAGUUAGUAAGGAUGUAAAAGGCAUUAUCAUACCAACCAAAUUGAACUAACUGACUUUUACAGUGCACUGCGCCCAACAGGAGCAGAGUACACAUUCUUUUCCAAGUACACAUAGAAGACUUACCAAGAUGAACAGUAUUUUGGGCCAUAAACAGGUUCUAAUAAAUUUAAAGGGACUCUAACUCAUACAAAGUAUACUCUCUGGCAACAAUGGAAUAAUGACAGAAAUAUAUCCGGAAUAGCACACUUCUUAGCAGCUCAUAUACCAAAGAAGAGAUCAAAAGGGAAUUUAGAAAAUAACCAAAUGAAAAUGAAAACAUAACAUAAUAAACUUUGUGGGAAGCAAGGACUAGAGCACCGGGAUGAACAUUUAUAACACUGAAUGCUGAGAACUUCUUAAUUCAAUGACCUCAGGUUAAUGUUCCAAGUGUGCUUGGAAAUUACAUGUAUUCUGUAUUUGUUGGGAGCCGUGUUUCACAAACGUCCAUGCAGUUCUUGCUGUUCAAGUUUUCUCUGUGCUUACAGAUUUUUUUUCCCUAUUGCUUUUAUUACUUUAUUUAAGAAAUCUUUUCCCACCACAAGGCCAUGAAAAUUUCUGGAAGUUUUAUAAUCAUGUUUUUGGAAUUUGAUCUAUGCUCUGUCUGGGGUUGAUUUGCUUUGAAUUUAUUUUUAUUGAAGUAUAGUUGAUUUACAGUAUUAUGUCAGUAUCAGAUGUACAGCAUAGCGGUGAUUCAGUAUUUUUACAGAUUAUAUGCCAUUAAAAGUUAUUACAAGAUAAUGGGUAUCAUGCAGUGUGCUAUACAAAAUAUCCUUGUUGCUUAUCUGCUUCAUACAUGGUAGCUUGUAUCUCUUAAUCACAUAUCCUUAUCUAGCUCCUCCCCACGUCCCUCUCCUCGCUGGUAACCACAAGUUUCUUUUCUGUAUCUGAGUCUGUUUCUGUUUUGCUGUAUGCAUUCAUUUGUUUUAUUUUUUCAGAUUUCACAUGUAAGUGAUAUCAUACAGUCUUUGAUUUAUUUUGAGUUAAUUUCUGUAAAAGUGUGAGGAGCCAAAGUUCAUAUUUUGCACACAAAUGUCCACUUGCCCUUGCCUCAUUUAUUAAAAAAAACUAUCCUUUCUCCA